rnacentral:rRNA from 1 species
CGUAGGGAGCAAGCGUUAUCCGGAAUUACUGGGCGUAAAGGGCGUGUAGGCGGCCAAUUAAGCUAGGUGUAAAUGUUACAGCUCAACUGUAAACCCGCAUCUAGAACUGGUUGGCUAGAGGAUGAGAGAGGAAAGUGGAAUUCCUAGUGUAGCGGUGGAAUGCGUAGAUAUUAGGAGGAACACCAGUGGCGAAGGCGGCUUUCUGGCUCAUACCUGACGCUGAGGCGCGAAAGCGUGGGGAGCAAACAGGAUU